rnacentral:lncRNA from 1 species
AUGCUCCGCCCUACUGGUAAACAGAACAGCUAUUUGCCCGUCACUCGGGCCUCUCAGGGCCCCAAGACUCCAGGAAGAAACAAAUACUUUAGAAGCCAAAACCCCAAGGCAAGGUUGACUGGGCAGCUACAGCAGUCCUGCUCUGAGCUGCAGGUCAGGUUCAGGUAUGUUCCAUGAGUCUUUCAUUCUAGGACCGAGGUUAAAGGAACCGUGGCUGCUAGGCAAACUCUUCUUAACGUAGAGGAUGGGAACAUAAAAGGCAGAGAGGUCAAAUCAAACAGUGCAAGCACAUUCAGAGCUUCUGCUCACAUUCAUUGGCCAAAAAAGCUCAUGUGGUCAACAUCAACGGAGAGGGUAGGAUAUUCUUCAUAUAAGUGAGAAAGGGGAGACAUAAAUGAUAAUUUGCUGAAUAGUACCCCACUCAACAUACCAUACAGAACAGAGGCAGGAGAGCAAAAAUAAAUAGCCCAUUGCAGAAGAGGAAGCAAUCACUGGUUUGUAGCAAU